rnacentral:rRNA from 1 species
GUUAUAUGGUCAAGUGAAGAAGCGCAUACGGUGGAUGCCUUGGCAGUCAGAGGCGAUGAAAGACGUGGUAGCCUGCGAAAAGCUUCGGGGAGUCGGCAAACAGACUUUGAUCCGGAGAUCUCUGAAUGGGGGAACCCACCUAGGAUAACCUAGGUAUCUUGUACUGAAUCCAUAGGUGCAAGAGGCGAACCAGGGGAACUGAAACAUCUAAGUACCCUGAGGAAAAGAAAUCAACCGAGAUUCCCUUAGUAGUGGCGAGCGAACGGGGAUUAGCCCUUAAGCUUCAUUGAUUUUAGCGGAACGCUCUGGAAAGUGCGGCCAUAGUGGGUGAUAGCCCCGUACGCGAAAGGAUCUUUGAAGUGAAAUCGAGUAGGACGGAGCACGAGAAACUUUGUCUGAACAUGGUGGGACCAUCCUCCAAGGCUAAAUACUACUGACUGACCGAUAGUGAACCAGUACCGUGAGGGAAAGGCGAAAAGAACCACGGAGAGGGGAGUGAAAUAGAACCUGAAACCGUAUGCGUACAAGCAGUGGGAGCCUACUUGUUAGGUGACUGCGUACCUUUUGUAUAAUGGGUCAGCGACUUAUAUUCAGUGGCAAGCUUAACCGUAUAGGGUAGGCGUAGCGAAAGCGAGUCUUAAUAGGGCGUUUAGUCGCUGGGUAUAGACCCGAAACCGGGCGAUCUAUCCAUGAGCAGGUUGAAGGUUAGGUAACACUGACUGGAGGACCGAACCCACUCCCGUUGAAAAGGUAGGGGAUGACUUGUGGAUCGGAGUGAAAGGCUAAUCAAGCUCGGAGAUAGCUGGUUCUCCUCGAAAGCUAUUUAGGUAGCGCCUCAUGUAUCACUCUGUGGGGUAGAGCACUGUUUCGGCUAGGGGGUCAUCCCGACUUACCAAACCGAUGCAAACUCCGAAUACCCAGAAGUGCCGAGCAUGGGAGACACACUGCGGGUGCUAACGUCCGUCGUGAAAAGGGAAACAACCCAGACCGCCAGCUAAGGUCCCAAAGUUGUGGUUAAGUGGUAAACGAUGUGGUAAGGCUUAGACAGCUAGGAGGUUGGCUUAGAAGCAGCCACCCUUUAAAGAAAGCGUAAUAGCUCACUAGUCGAGUCGGCCUGCGCGGAAGAUGUAACGGGGCUCAAACCACACACCGAAGCUGCGGGUGUCACGUAAGUGACGCGGUAGAGGAGCGUUCUGUAAGCCUGUGAAGGUGAGUUGAGAAGCUUGCUGGAGGUAUCAGAAGUGCGAAUGCUGACAUGAGUAACGACAAUGGGUGUGAAAAACACCCACGCCGAAAGACCAAGGGUUCCUGCGCAACGUUAAUCGACGCAGGGUUAGUCGGUUCCUAAGGCGAGGCUGAAAAGCGUAGUCGAUGGGAAACAGGUUAAUAUUCCUGUACUUCUGGUUACUGCGAUGGAGGGACGGAGAAGGCUAGGCCAGCUUGGCGUUGGUUGUCCAAGUUUAAGGUGGUAGGCUGAAAUCUUAGGUAAAUCCGGGGUUUCAAGGCCGAGAGCUGAUGACGAGUCGUCUUUUAGAUGACGAAGUGGUUGAUGCCAUGCUUCCAAGAAAAGCUUCUAAGCUUCAGGUAACCAGGAACCGUACCCCAAACCGACACAGGUGGUCGGGUAGAGAAUACCAAGGCGCUUGAGAGAACUCGGGUGAAGGAACUAGGCAAAAUGGCACCGUAACUUCGGGAGAAGGUGCGCCGGCUAGGGUGAAGGAUUUACUCCGUAAGCUCUGGCUGGUCGAAGAUACCAGGCCGCUGCGACUGUUUAUUAAAAACACAGCACUCUGCAAACACGAAAGUGGACGUAUAGGGUGUGACGCCUGCCCGGUGCCGGAAGGUUAAUUGAUGGGGUUAGCGCAAGCGAAGCUCUUGAUCGAAGCCCCGGUAAACGGCGGCCGUAACUAUAACGGUCCUAAGGUAGCGAAAUUCCUUGUCGGGUAAGUUCCGACCUGCACGAAUGGCGUAACGAUGGCGGCGCUGUCUCCACCCGAGACUCAGUGAAAUUGAAAUCGCUGUGAAGAUGCAGUGUAUCCGCGGCUAGACGGAAAGACCCCGUGAACCUUUACUGUAGCUUUGCACUGGACUUUGAGCCUGCUUGUGUAGGAUAGGUGGGAGGCUUUGAAGCGUGGACGCCAGUUCGCGUGGAGCCAUCCUUGAAAUACCACCCUGGCAUGCUUGAGGUUCUAACUCUGGUCCGUAAUCCGGAUCGAGGACAGUGUAUGGUGGGCAGUUUGACUGGGGCGGUCUCCUCCUAAAGAGUAACGGAGGAGUACGAAGGUGCGCUCAGACCGGUCGGAAAUCGGUCGCAGAGUAUAAAGGCAAAAGCGCGCUUGACUGCGAGACAGACACGUCGAGCAGGUACGAAAGUAGGUCUUAGUGAUCCGGUGGUUCUGUAUGGAAGGGCCAUCGCUCAACGGAUAAAAGGUACUCCGGGGAUAACAGGCUGAUACCGCCCAAGAGUUCAUAUCGACGGCGGUGUUUGGCACCUCGAUGUCGGCUCAUCACAUCCUGGGGCUGAAGCCGGUCCCAAGGGUAUGGCUGUUCGCCAUUUAAAGUGGUACGCGAGCUGGGUUUAGAACGUCGUGAGACAGUUCGGUCCCUAUCUGCCGUGGACGUUUGAGAUUUGAGAGGGGCUGCUCCUAGUACGAGAGGACCGGAGUGGACGAACCUCUGGUGUUCCGGUUGUCACGCCAGUGGCAUUGCCGGGUAGCUAUGUUCGGAAAAGAUAACCGCUGAAAGCAUCUAAGCGGGAAACUUGCCUCAAGAUGAGAUCUCACUGGGAACUUGAUUCCCCUGAAGGGCCGUCGAAGACUACGACGUUGAUAGGCUGGGUGUGUAAGCGUUGUGAGGCGUUGAGCUAACCAGUACUAAUUGCCCGUGAGGCUUGACCAUAUAACACCCAAACA